UACCAGCACCCCGAGUGGUCGGGACGAUUAUUGGGCCUAAAGCAUCCGUAGCCGGUCAUGCAAGUCCUCCGUUAAAUCCACCUGCUUAACAGAUGGGCUGCGGAGGAUACUACAAGGCUAGGAGGCGGAAGAGGCAAGCGGUACUCAGUGGGUAGGGGUAAAAUCCUCUGAUCCAUUGAAGACCACCAGUGGCGAAGGCGGCUUGCCAAUACGCGCUCGACGGUGAGGGAUGAAAGCUGGGGGAGCAAACGGG
rnacentral:rRNA from 1 species